CCUACGGGAGGCAGCAGUGAGGAAUAUUGGUCAAUGGGCUUACGCCUGAACCAGCCAAGUCGCGUGAGGGAAGACUGCCCUAUGGGUUGUAAACCUCUUUUGUCAGGGAGCAACGCCUGCUACGUGUAGCCGGACUGAGAGUACCUGAAGAAAAAGCAUCGGCUAACUCCGUGCCAGCAGCCGCGGAAAUACGGAGGAUGCGAGCGUUAUCCGAAUUUAUUGGGUUUAAAGGGUGCGUAGGCGGAAUGCCAAGUCAGCGGUAACAUCGCGGGGCGCAACCCCAUCCAGCCGUUGAAACUGGCGAUCUAGAGUGUGCGAGAGGGAUGCGGAAUGCGUGGUGUAGCGGUGAAAUGCAUAGAUAUCACGCAGAACCCCGAUUGCGAAGGCAGCAUACCGGUGCACAACUGACGCUCAGGCACGAAAGCGUGGGUAUCGAACAGGAUUAGAUACCCGGGUAGUC
rnacentral:rRNA from 1 species